CUAAAAAUGGGGAGGUUGACUAAUGUCAGAAGUAGAUGGUAAGUCUAGGAAAGAAACAGACUUAUCUGUGCUUUUAAAUAUGCCUUUAUUAGUGGUAGAUUUGGGAAUUAUUAUGGUUCAAGUUGCCGUGUAGUUGGUAACUAAUAGAUAAAUUACUUUCUGUGUCAGACCAUUCCGUCUCAGCAGCUGUUGAGCUACUACGGCUGUUCAAUCACCUGUGGUAUCUACGUUUUUGUUUGAAUAUAAGGGAGAUAUAAGGACACAUAUGAAGAACCUCUUUUUAUGCAACCACAUUCCAGAAUUAUUAGACAAAGAAUGUCAGGUAACAUAUUAACACCAUCUGUUACUUAUACUCAAUCCAGACACCCACAUCUAAUGUGUACAGAAUAUGCAAUAUCAUAAUGUGCCUAUCACCAGUCAAUGUGAGUCUCCACUGUUACUCGCCCCACUUUUUCCUGUGCCAUAUCUUGAUGAAA